rnacentral:lncRNA from 1 species
CGCGCCGGCACCGGCCCCGGAACGUGGCUCGCCAGCAGGCCGUGCUCCAGCUCGCUCAGCAGGAUGUAGUUGUUGAAGUAGGGGAAGAGCCCCAGGUGGUCGAGCGGGUUGUCGAAGCCGGCGAGGAGGUCCGAGUAGUGGGCCUCCAGCAGGCCCUCGGCGUCGGCGCAGAGGCGGAUCAGCCGCGCGCGCAUCUCCUGCAGCUCGGGGCCGAGGCGCUCCACGUCGACGGCGCUUGGAGGGAUGCAGGCCGUCACCAGCUCCGUGAAGAGCGCGUUCACCUCGGGGGACGGGCUCAGCGACGGCAGCUUGGCGAUGGCAGCGGCGAGCCCGGCGAUCUUGUGCACGAGCGCCGCCUCCUCAUCCGACGCCAUCCCCUCCUCCGGGACUGGUACCUGGACCUCCUCCUCCUGCUUGUUCCCCAUGUCGACCAUGGCGCGUGGCGGGCACGUACGGUCAGUCACAG